UCCGGAGUCCUAGAGAGGGCGCCUCAGCAGCCGGCUGGAGAUGCACUUCCGGUCUUUGUUUGUCAGUGGCGACGGCGGCUUGCGGGGGUCACGGGCAGCACCCGUGGUAGCUCUGAGAUCCCAUCGCUAGGUGUCAGUCACCGAACAGAACGUGCCUGUUCUCUGCGAGAGCACGUCUCUCCUCCCGCCCCCCACACUUUUGACCUCUCCCUCCCUUUGUGCCCCCUAUGCAGCGGGACGAUUAAAGAGAGCCUCCUUUUAUACACACUUGGCAAAUGGGAAGAGAAAGAGGAGCCAUAAAUUCCAGAAAAUGAUGAGGAAUUGAGAUGUGGAGAGGCCAAGUCACUUGCAUAAAACCACACACACAACAAGAGGCAAGGGCCAGGGUGCGCCUCCAGCCUUUAUGCUCUUUCCACUACGCCACACUUCCUCCUCAUUUGGCUAUGAAGUGAGGCAAGCAGAGAACCUGUCCAGUAUGUAACCACCUUGCGGAUGGCUCUCAGGAGAGAGCCUUACACCUCAGAGACAUGGUGGAAGCCAAAAUGGUUGGCUGUACUGCACUGCUUAGGGACCUGCAGUCUGUCCACGGAUACCAUCAGUCUCACCUGUGGAUGGACUGGCCCCACCUGAGAGGACCCAAGAGAACUUCCUUCUCCCUCUGACUUACCUUUCUGCAGUGCAGCCGACUGCGCCUUCUCAUUCCUGUUCUUAAUACUUGAAAGCAGGAGAAAUAGCACCCUGAACCGAAAAACCAUGAUUCUCCAAGUCUGAUGUUCUCUCAGUAACAGGAAGCACCAGCCCAGCACAUGCUGCAGUCUGUGUUAUAGGAGAUAGGAUGUGGCAAACUGGGGAAAUGGGCGGAAUUAGUCAAUUACAAGAUUCCAGGACAAGAGGAAAGUCCAUAUGCAGGACUUCUUAUCAGCUCAUAUGCAGAGGUAUAUGGCACAAAAGAACAGCAGCCAUCACAGAAAUCCACUAUUCUGGGAGUUUGCACAGUAGCCAGUACUUUAAUUUUGCUUUUUACCCUCUUUAUUCUUUGUUCUGCAGAGUUGGUUUUUCCCAUAUCCAUUUACCCCAAGUUUUUCAAAUAAACUUUUUG